CCUACGGGGGGCUGCAGUGGGGAAUAUUGCGCAAUGGGGGAAACCCUGACGCAGCAACGCCGCGUGAAGGAUGAAGGUUUUCGGAUCGUAAACUUCUUUGAUGAGGGACGAAUAAUGACGGUACCUCAAAAACAAGCCACGGCUAACUACGUGCCAGCAGCCGCGGUAAUACGUAGGUGGCGAGCGUUGUCCGGAAUUACUGGGUGUAAAGGGCGUGUAGGCGGGAAUGCAAGUCAGAUGUGAAAUACCGUGGCUUAACCACGGGGCUGCAUCUGAAACUGUGUUUCGUGAGUGUCGGAGAGGAAAGUGGAAUUCCCAGUGUAGCGGUGAAAUGCGUAGAUAUUGGGAGGAACACCAGUGGCGAAGGCGACUUUCUGGACGAUAACUGACGCUGAGGCGCGAAAGCGUGGGGAGCAAACAGGAUUAGAUACCCGUGUAGUC
rnacentral:rRNA from 1 species